rnacentral:ncRNA from 1 species
AAGUUUUAUUCUUGCUUUUUCGUUCAUUUUUUGCUUGUUCUAUAUGUAAAUUUUUGUAUGAUUUUGUUUAAGGUUCUUAAUGGGUCUUGGAUUUAUUUGUGUAUUUCUCAUUAGUUAUUAUUGGUUGGUCAAGUGUCCUUGUAUUUAGCAAUGCAUUAUAGUUUCGGUUAAAUUUUGUGCCAGCAGCCGCGGUUAUACCUUGGAAGCGUUUGAAUGAGUUCGGUGUUGUAGUUAUAUAGUUAUUUUGUGUAAGUGAUUUUGUUUAAGUGAUUUUUAGGUGAAAUUUUUAUUGUUUUUGUUUGUUUUUUAUAUGUUUGGAGACUAUGAAAUUUUAUUUUUAAACUAGGAUUAGAUACCCUAUUAUUUUAGGAUGUUAAGUUUUUUGCCGGAGUAGUAUUAGUUAUGUUCUUGAAACUUAAAGAAUUUGGCGGUAUCUCAUUCCGUUCAGAGGAAUCUGUCUCGUUAUCGAUAGUCCACGUUGGACCUUACUUAAUUGAUUUGGUUUGUAUACCGCCGUUUAUUGAUUAUCUUUUUAGAGGUUAUGUUAAUUUUCUGGUUUCUUUAUUUUGUUUUAUUUCAGGUCAAGGUGCAGCUUGUUUUUAAGUGGAAUGAUGGAUUACAUUGGUAUUUGUUUUGUGGAUUGUUGAUUUUAAUAUCGGCAUGAAAUUGGAUUUGGUUGUAAUAAUUUGUAGAUUGUUAUUAUGAUAUUGGUUCUGGGAUAUGCACACAUCGCCCGUCGCUCUCGUUUGUUUAUUAUGAUGAGAUAAGUCGUAACAAAGUGGUUGUACCGGAAGGUGCGGCUGGAUUGAUAU